rnacentral:lncRNA from 1 species
AUUUGCAUCUUUUAUAUCACUGGUACUGAGAAAUAGUCAUCAUAUUGCUCUAGUUUAUGGAGUAAAGGGGUCUGCACAGUUAUUUUGUUGAAGUUUAUGUUGCUUCCUAUAAAUGUUUGAAGUUUGGACCCGUACCUACAAUUCUACUUCUAGACAAUGGGCUGAAUGUAAUUGGUUCAGAUUAAAUUGGUGCAAGUUUGUUCAGUUUAUCAACCAGACAAUGAUAAGGUGCUGAGAUUUGUUAUCAGAGAUGAAAAUUGUGUUAGAAUGAAGAUCAUGUUCUAGUAGAAGUUUUGGUCUGGCACUUCCCUUUGUUUGAGUUUCACAUACACACAUUGUGGCAACAAUGUUACUCUUAUGAUUUGUUUAGGUGUUUAGUUCUUUACUAGUACAUUGUGUAAUUUUGGUAUUCUACAAAUUUG